rnacentral:rRNA from 1 species
UACGUAGGUGGCAAGCGUUGUCCGGAAUUACUGGGUGUAAAGCGCGUGUAGGCGGGAGGCCAAGUCUGCUGUGAAAUCGCUCGGCUCAACUGGGCGGGGUCGGUGGAAACUGGUCACCUGGAGGACGGUAGAGGCGAGUGGAAUUCCUGGUGUAGCGGUGAAAUGCGUAGAUAUCAGGAGGAACACCUGUGGUGUAGACGGCUCUCUGGACCGCAACUGACGCUGAGACACGAAAGCGUGGGUAGCAAACAGG